UUGACCUCAAAUCAGGUAGGACUACCCGCUGAACUUAAGCAUAUCAAUAAGCGGAGGAAAAGAAACUAACAAGGAUUCCCCUAGUAACUGCGAGUGAAGUGGGAAAAGCUCAAAUUUAAAAUCUGACAGUCUUUGACUGUCUGAGUUGUAACCUAGAGAAGUGCUACCUGUGCUGGACCAUGUAUAAGUCUCCUGGAAUGGAGUGUCAGAGAGGGUGAGAAUCCCGUCCUUGACAUGGACUGCCAGUGCAUUGUGGUGUGCUCUCAAAGAGUCGAGUUGUUGGAAAUGCAGCU
rnacentral:rRNA from 1 species